CCUGUGCCUCAGAAUAUCGUGUUAAGGAAUGGUUCCGAGACCUUUGACUCCUGGAAGAAGCCCCCUCUGCCUGUGUACACCCAGUUCUAUUUCUUCAAUGUCACUAAUCCAGAGGAAAUCCUCAAUGGGGAGACCCCUUGGUUGGAAGACGUGGGGCCAUACACGUACAGGGAACUCAGAAACAAAGACGAAAUUCAAUUUGGAGAUAAUGGAACAACAAUAUCCGCUGUGAGCAACAAAGCCUAUGUUUUUGAACGAGACAAAUCUGUUGGAGACCCGAAAAUUGACUUACUUAGAACAAUAAAUAUUCUUGCAUUGACCGCCAUGGAAUGGAGCCAGCUGCCCUUACUCCGGGAGCUCAUCAAGGCCCUGCUGAAGGCCUAUCGGCAGAAGCUCUUUGUGACCCACAGGGUGGAUGAACUGCUCUGGGGUUACAAAGAUGAAAUCUUAUCCCUCAUCAGCGUUUUCAAACACGACGUCUCUCCCUAUUUUGGGCUGUUUUAUGGGAAAAAUGGGACUAAUGACGGAGACUAUGUUUUUCUAACUGGAGAAGACAAUUACCUUAACUUUUCCAAGAUUGUGGAAUGGAAUGGAAAAACGUCGCUUGACUGGUGGACAGCAGAUGAGUGCAAUAUGAUCAACGGAACAGAUGGAGACUCUUUUCACCCAUUAAUCACCAAAGAUGAAGUCCUUUAUGUCUUCCCAUCUGAUUUUUGCAGGUCAGUGUAAAUAACUUUCAGUGACUUUGAGAGUGUCCAGGGACUGCCUGCCUUGAGGUAUAAGGUGCCUGCAGAAAUAUUAGCCAAUACCUCAGACAACGCUGGCUUCUGUAUACCUAAAGGAAACUGCCUGGGCUCAGGAGUUUUGAAUGUCAGCGUCUGCAAGAAUGGUGCACCUAUUAUUAUAUCUUUCCCACACUUCUACGAGGCAGACGAAAAGUUUGUCUCUGCCAUUGAAGGCAUGCAUCCAAAUAAGGAAUAUCAUGAGACGUUUGUGGACAUCAAUCCUUUGACUGGAGUUAUCCUAAGAGCAGCCAAGAGGUUCCAAAUCAACGUUUAUGUCAGAAAAUUAGAUGACUUCAUUGAAACAGGAAACAUUCAAACCCUGGUUUUCCUAGUGAUGUACAUCAAUGAGAGUGUUCUCAUUGAUAAAGAGACUGCAAGUCGACUGAAGUCUGUGAUUAACACUACUCUGAUUGUCACCAACAUACCCUACAUUAUCAUGGCACUGGGUGUGUUCCUUGGUCUGAUCUUCACCUGGCUUGCGUGCAGAGGACAGGGAUCCACAGAUGAGGGAACUGCAGAUGAAAGAGCGCCCCCAUACGAACCUAAUCAAACCAGGAGCCGUGCUUGGGGAAGGAAGCAUGCGCACUGUUGUGACCUGGGCCGUGAUGACAUGGGGCAACCGCCUGUGUCCUCAUGGGCUUGCCACCUGGUGAGACAGGAGGAGGACACGCUCAUCACGGUGCUCCGGCGUGUGAUGAGCACCUUCCAGCAGAGGUUCAAGAACAGGCUGACCUGGUUGGCCGUUAGGAUCCUGUGA